AUUGAACACUGGCGGCAGGCCUAACACAUGCAAGUCGAACGGUAACAGGAAGACGCUUGCUUCUUUGCUGACGAGUGGCGGACGGGUGAGUAAUGUCUGGGAAACUGCCUGAUGGAGGGGGAUAACUGCUGGAAACGGUAGCUAAUACCGCAUAACGUCGCAAGACCAAAGAGGGGGACCUUCGGGCCUCUUGCCAUCGGAUGUGCCCAGAUGGGAUUAGCUAGUAGGUGGGGUAACGGCUCACCUAGGCGACGAUCCCUAGCUGGUCCGAGAGGAUGACCAGCCACACUGGAACUGAGACACGGUCCAGACUCCUACGGGAGGCGGCAGUGGGGAAUAUUGCACAAUGGGCGCAAGCCUGAUGCAGCCAUGCCGCGUGUAUGAAGAAGGCCUUCGGGUUGUAAAGUACUUUCAGCGGGGAGGAAGGGAGUAAAGUUAAUACCUUUGCUAAUUGACGUUACCCGCAGAAGAAGCACCGGCUAACUCCGUG
rnacentral:rRNA from 1 species